GGCUCGAUGGUGGAUCGUCCAUGCCUGCUACUCUUAAUAGAUUUUGUAAGUCUAUGGCAGGAGUUGCCCGUUCAACCCGGGCUCGAGCCA